rnacentral:rRNA from 1 species
UCCCAGCGGUCCAAGUCGCAGCCACAUUUGUUGGGUCUAAAACAUCCGUAGCUUGCUCUACAAGUUCAUUGUGAAAUCGGGACUCUCAAGGUUCCGGCGGGCAAUGAAUACUGUUGAGCUAGAGAUCGGGAGAUGCAAUGAGUAUGAACAGGGAAGCGGUAAAAUGCGUUGAUCCUUUUCAGACUAACACCAGCGAAGGCACGUUGCAAGAACGAAUCUGACAGUGAGGGAUGAAGGCUAGGGGCGCAAAGUG